GAGAAUAUAAGUAAGCUACCAAAAUCAUUAACCCUUUAGAUGCUCACUGGAAUCUACACUCCUACAUACAUAGGUGGGCCAAAAUUGAAGUGGAGGAACUCAAGAGAGACAACACGGGUGUGCUAUAAAUAAAAAAAGUAAAAACUGUAUAUUAUAUUAAUAAUAACAAUAUAUUGAGGCCAUUAUCAAAGUGAAAUUCACAGUAAAUCUUUAUAAACAUACAGUAUGUUCACAGUUUUGGAGGCCAGAAUGAACGGCAGUGAAAAAGCAGUUGAGGAGCUCAAGAGAGAGAACGAAGAUCUUCUGGCUAGAAUAACAGCAAGUGAAAAUAAGAACAUGGUUUUGGAAGCCAGAAUGAGCUCCAGUGAAAAUGAGGUGGAAGAGCUCAAGAGAGAGAAUGCAG